ACUGAUAGCCAGGUGAAGGUUGGCAGGAAUUGCACAUGAAAGUAGCCAGCACUUUCUGAUCGUCUAUCAUCGCCAAUUGGGGAACGUGGUAAAGUAUAUAGUGAUUAGUAAUGUGUUAGUUUCAGAGAUUCGUUUAAGAAAUAACAUUUUGUAUCACCAAAACACGGACUGUACGUACUUUAAUUCUUUAUUGUCCAUUCGUAAAUACGCGUAUGUGUUGGCUAUGUUUUUAUAAAUCUGGAAGAUGCAAGGUGGUAUCACAGUUAGGCACAAUGGUCAGAAACAAGAUAAAGUUCACAAAUGACCCAAUUAUAAAAUCGGUUUUUUACAGUUGUGUUUUAUUAUUUAAGAAAAAGAUUUAUUUUUUAUUUUUUAUAUAUAAUAUAUGAAAGCAACCUUUUAUAGCCACUAGUUGUUUUGAGGGUUGUAAUUGUAAAUAAACCGUUCAUUGGUUUAUUCAAAAGGUAAAUAUUGGCAACUCUGCAUCCUAAGUUCAGAUUUCUAGCGUCUGUAAUGAGAAGCCACAAUUGUGGUUGUGCUAGAUUUUAGGUAAGCCUUAGAUUAAUACGAGUCCUUGCAUAGAAGUGAUUCUAUAAAAUUGUGCGAUAAUAAAAUGUGGAACGUUUGUGAAAAACCAAUGAGAUCGUCUUAAAUGAUGAGCUGAUUGCAGUGUAUGCACGUUAAACAACGAAAUAGCAAUGGCGCCUUGGCUGUUUCACACCAUUGUUCAGAUUAAAAGGAGGGAAAACGAAUAGGAUACAGAACACAUAGCCUCUCGGUUCAUAUGAGGUGGCGGUAGAGUCCGUAGCAGGUGGUUUUACGUUAGCAGGGUUCACUUUUGAAGGAAUUGUUUUGUCCGUCAAAAUUUGUAAAUUAUUGUAUUGUGUGGAGAAUUGUCAAUAAAAAUGUUUCUUAAACAAA